AUUUGCACACUGAGAGCUGAGAACUCGGAGAAAGAUAAAGAGAGCAGAAUGAAGAAAAACAGAAUCCAAACUCUCCAAAGAGAGAACACUGAAUUACAAUCAGAGAACCAGUCACUAAAGAAGCAGGUAUCAUCACAAUCACACAAACCAAAAA